UUCGCCCUUAGAGUUUGAUCCUGGCUCACGACGAACGCUGGCGGCGCGCCUAACACAUGCAAGUCGAACGAGCGAGAGAGAGCUUGCUUUCUCAAGCGAGUGGCGAACGGGUGAGUAACGCGUGAGGAACCUGCCUCAAAGAGGGGGACAACAGUUGGAAACGACUGCUAAUACCGCAUAAGCCCACAGCUCGGCAUCGAGCAGAGGGAAAAGGAGCGAUCCGCUUUGAGAUGGCCUCGCGUCCGAUUAGCUAGUUGGUGAGGUAAUGGCCCACCAAGGCGACGAUCGGUAGCCGGACUGAGAGGUUGAACGGCCACAUUGGGACUGAGACACGGCCCAGACUCCUACGGGAGGCAGCAGUGGGGAAUAUUGCACAAUGGGGGAAACCCUGAUGCAGCGACGCCGCGUGGAGGAAGAAGGUCUUCGGAUUGUAAACUCCUGUUGUUGAGGAAGAUAAUGACGGUACUCAACAAGGAAGUGACGGCUAACUACGUGCCAGCAGCCGCGGUAAAACGUAGGUCACAAGCGUUGUCCGGAAUUACUGGGUGUAAAGGGAGCGCAGGCGGGAUGACAAGUUGGAAGUGAAAUCUAUGGGCUCAACCCAUAAACUGCUUUCAGAACUGUUGUCUUGAGUAGUGCAGAGGUAGGCGGAAUUCCCGGUGUAGCGGUGGAAUGCGUAGAUAUCGGGAGGAACACCAGUGGCGAAGGCGGCCUACUGGGCACCAACUGACGCUGAAGCUCGAAAGUGUGGGUAGCAAACAGGAUUAGAUACCCUGGUGGUCCACACCGUAAACGAUGAUUACUAGGUGUUGGAGGAUUGACCCCUUCAGUGCCGCAGUUAACACAAUAAGUAAUCCACCUGGGGAGUACGACCGCAAGGUUGAAACUCAAAGGAAUUGACGGGGGCCCGCACAAGCAGUGGAGUAUGUGGUUUAAUUCGACGCAACGCGAAGAACCUUACCAAGUCUUGACAUCCCUUGACGAACAUAGAAAUAUGUUUUCUCUUCGGAGCAAGGAGACAGGUGGUGCAUGGUUGUCGUCAGCUCGUGUCGUGAGAUGUUGGGUUAAGUCCCGCAACGAGCGCAACCCUUACUGUCAGUUACUACGCAAGAGGACUCUGGCAGGACUGCCGUUGACAAAACGGAGGAAGGUGGGGAUGACGUCAAAUCAUCAUGCCCUUUAUGACUUGGGCUACACACGUACUACAAUGGCGUUAAACAAAGGGAAGCAAGACCGCGAGGUGGAGCAAAACUCAGAAACAACGUCCCAGUUCGGACUGCAGGCUGCAACUCGCCUGCACGAAGUCGGAAUUGCUAGUAAUCGUGGAUCAGCAUGCCACGGUGAAUACGUUCCNCGGGCAUUGUACACGGCGCCCGUC
rnacentral:rRNA from 1 species